GGGAGAGUGGCGGAAGGGUAGACGCGAUGGUCUCAAACACCAUUGGAGCAAUCCGUGUGGGUUCAAGUCCCAUCUCUCCUA
rnacentral:tRNA from 1 species